rnacentral:rRNA from 1 species
GAUGAACGCUGGCGGCGUGCUUAACACAUGCAAGUCGAACGAGAAAUGGAGACGGAAACCUUCGGGCGGAAGGCUUCAUUUCGAGUGGCGGACGGGUGAGUAACGCGUGGGUAACCUGCCUCAUACAGGGGGAUAACAGUUGGAAACGACUGUUAAUACCGCAUAAGACCACAGCACCGCAUGGUGCGGGGGUAAAAACUCCGGUGGUAUGAGAUGGACCCGCGUUCGAUUAGCCAGUUGGCGGGGUAACGGCCCACCAAAGCGACGAUCGAUAGCCGAUCUGAGAGGAGGACCGGCCACAUUGGGACUGAGACACGGCCCAAACUCCUACGGGAGGCAGCAGUGGGGAAUAUUGCACAAUGGGGGAAACCCUGAUGCAGCGACGCCGCGUGAGUGAAGAAGUACUUCGGUAUGUAAAGCUCUAUCAGCAGGGAAGAAAAUGACGGUACCUGAGUAAGAAGCCCCGGCUAACUACGUG